rnacentral:tRNA from 1 species
GGAAUAUAGCUCAGUUGGUAGAGUGCUUACCUCAUGUGUAUAAGGCCCUUGGUUCAAUCCCCAGCACCA